CAGCGUCUCCGUGGUAGCUGUCAGAGACAAAUCGAGUUCAUUGUAGCUCAUGUAAUUCUCUGAGGAAAGUCCCUGGAACCUAAGCCUGAGAGAGGCGUUUCGUUAAAAGAUUCUCCGGUCUACUCACGUCGUACAUUCGCGACUCACGCUUGCUGAGUGUACGAUGAGUACAAUCUUAAUCGUAGCACAGAGUAAUGCUUGGUAACUGAACAGGGCUUACACAGGAGACACU
rnacentral:RNase_MRP_RNA from 1 species